rnacentral:rRNA from 1 species
UACGGAAGGCAGCAGUGGGGAAUCUUGCGCAAUGGGCGAAAGCCUGACGCAGCCAUGCCGCGUGAAUGAUGAAGGUCUUAGGAUUGUAAAAUUCUUUCACCGGGGACGAUAAUGACGGUACCCGGAGAAGAAGCCCCGGCUAACUUCGUGCCAGCAGCCGCGGUAAUACGAAGGGGGCUAGCGUUGCUCGGAAUUACUGGGCGUAAAGGGCGCGUAGGCGGAUCGUUAAGUCAGAGGUGAAAUCCCAGGGCUCAACCCUGGAACUGCCUUUUGAUACUGGCGAUCUUGAGUAUGAGAGAGGUAUGUGGAACUCCGAGUGUAGAGGUGAAAUUCGUAGAUAUUCGGAAGAACACCAGUGGCGAAGGCGACAUACUGGCUCAUUACUGACGCUGAGGCGCGAAAGCGUGGGGAGCAAACAGGGAUUAGAUACC